rnacentral:rRNA from 1 species
GACGAACGCUGGCGGCGUGCUUAACACAUGCCAGUCGAACGGAAAGGCCCUGCUUUUGUGGGGUGCUCGAGUGGCGAACGGGUGAGUAACACGUUAGUAACCUGCCCUUGACUUUGGGAUAACUUCAGGAAACUGGGGCUAAUACCGGAUAGGAGCUCCUGCUGCAUGGUGGGGGUUGGAAAGUUUCGGCGGUUGGGGAUGGACUCGCGGCUUAUCAGCUUGUUGGUGGUGUAGUGGCUUACCAAGCCUUUGACGGGUGGCAGGCCUGAGAGGGGGAGCGGAACAGUGGGGAAAAGGAGAUGACCAGACUCCUACGGGAGGCAGCAGUGGGGAAUGUUGCACAAUGGGCGGAAGCCAGAUGCAGCAACGCCGCGGGCGGGAUGAAGGCCUUCAGGUUGUAAAGCGAUUUCGCCUGGGAAGAAGCGUGAGUGACGGUAAUGUGUAAAGAAGCACCGGCUAACUACGUG